AAGCGGCGGAGCAUGUGGAUUAAUUCGAUGCAACGCGAAGAACCUUACCUGGGCUUGACAUGCGCCAGACAUCCCUAGAGAUAAGGCUUCCCUUGUGGUUGGUGUACAGGUGGUGCAUGGCUGUCGUCAGCUCGUGUCGUGAGAUGUUGGGUUAAGUCGGGCAACGAGCGCAACAAUUAUCCUACGUUGCCAGCGCGUUAUGGCGGGGACUCGUGGGAGACUGCCGGGGUCAA
rnacentral:rRNA from 1 species